GACGAACGCUGGCGGCGUGCUUAACACAUGCAAGUCGAGCGGUAAGGCCCUUCGGGGUACACGAGCGGCGAACGGGUGAGUAACACGUGGGUGACCUGCCCUCCACUUCGGGAUAAGCCCGGGAAACUGGGUCUAAUACCGGUUAGGACCUCCUCAUGCAUGUGGGGUGGUGGAAAGCUUGUGUCUUUGAUGCUUGCGGUGGGGGAUGGGCCCGCGGUCUAUCAGCUUGUUGGUGGGGUGAUGGCCUACCAAGGCGACGACGGAUAGCCGGCCUGAGAGGGUGAUCGGCCACACUGGGACUGAGACACGGCCAGACUCCUACGGGAGGCAGCAGUGGGGAAUCUUGCGCAAUGGGCGAAGCCUGACGCAGCAACGCCGCGUGGGGAUGACGG
rnacentral:rRNA from 1 species